CGCCUCUUGUAGCACCCCCCAUAAGAGGUCCCGCCUGCCCUGUGACUACGGGUUUAACGGCCGCGGUAUUUUGACCGUGCUAAGGUAGCGCAAUCACUUGUCUUUUAAAUGGAGACCAGUAUGAAUGGCACCACGAGGGCUUAACUGUCUCCUUUUUCCUGUCAAUGAAAUUGAUCCCCCCGUGCAGAAGCGGGGAUACCCCCAUAAGACGAGAAGACCCUAUGGAGCUUUAGGCUACCGAACAGACUAUGUUAAACAACCUAAAACACAAGAUUUAAACUAAUUAGAUCCUGCUCUAAAUGCCUUUGGUUGGGGCGACCAUGGGGAAAUAAAAAACCCCCACGCGGACCGAGAGAACAGCCUCUCGAUACACCCCAGAGCUACCACUCUAAGUUACAGAAUUUCUGACCAAUCACAUGAUCCGGUAUAACCGACCAACGAACCCAGUUACCCUAGGGAUAACAGCGCAAUCCCCUUUUAGAGCCCAUAUCGACAAGGGGGUUUACGACCUCGAUGUUGGAUCAGGACAUCCUAUUGGUGUAGCCGCUAUUAAGGGUUCGUUUGUUCAACGAUUAACAGUCCU
rnacentral:rRNA from 1 species